rnacentral:rRNA from 1 species
UACGUAGGGUGCGAGCGUUGUCCGGAAUUACUGGGCGUAAAGAGCUCGUAGGUGGUUUGUCGCGUUGUUCGUGAAAACUCACAACUCAAUUGUGGGCGUGCGGGCGAUACGGGCAGACUGGAGUACUGCAGGGGAGACUGGAAUUCCUGGUGUAGCGGUGGAAUGCGCAGAUAUCAGGAGGAACACCGGUGGCGAAGGCGGGUCUCUGGGCAGUAACUGACGCUGAGGAGCGAAAGCGUGGGAAGCGAACAGG